CACGUAGGCACCAAGCGUUGUCCGGAUUUAUUGGGCGUAAAGGGCGCGUAGGCGGGAUGGCAAGUCGGUCGUGAAAUCCUUCGGCUCAACCGAAGAACGUCGAUCGAUACUGCUGUUCUUGAGGGUUGCAGAGGAGACUGGAAUUUACGGUGUAGCGGUGAAAUGCGUAGAUAUCGUAAGGAAGACCAGUGGCGAAGGCGGGUCUCUGGACAGUUCCUGACGCUGAGGCACGAAGGCCAGGGGAGCAAACGGG
rnacentral:rRNA from 1 species